GGCGCUGUGUCUUAGUUGGUUGAGGUGUCUGUCUCGUAAGCAGGAAAUCCUGGGUUUUAAAAUCCCAGCAGUGCCU